rnacentral:rRNA from 1 species
GUAGGUGGCAAGCGUUGUCCGGAAUUAUUGGGCGUAAAGCGCGCGCAGGCGGUUCUUUAAGUCUGAUGUGAAAGCCCACGGCUCAACCGUGGAGGGUCAUUGGAAACUGGAGAACUUGAGUACAGAAGAGGAAAGCGGAAUUCCACGUGUAGCAGUGAAAUGCGUAGAGAUGUGGAGGAACACCAGUGGCGAAGGCGGCUUUCUGGUCUGUAACUGACGCUGAGGCGCGAAAGCGUGGGGAGCAAACAGGAUUAGAUACCCUGGUAGUCCACGCCGUAAACGAUGAGUGCUAAGUGUUAGGGGGUUUCCGCCCCCCUUAGUGCUGCGGCUAACGCAUUAAGCACUCCGCCUGGGGAUACGGCCGCAAGGCUG